GCUGGUGUGUUUAGUAAGAAAACAAACAAGAAAAGUAAAUCUAUUGUAUUUUUUUUUUUUUUUUUUUACUUUUAAAACCCAUUGCUUCUGGCCAAA
rnacentral:snoRNA from 1 species